rnacentral:rRNA from 1 species
GAUGAACGCUGGCGGCGUGCCUAAUACAUGCAAGUCGAGCGAACAGACGAGGAGCUUGCUCCUCUGACGUUAGCGGCGGACGGGUGAGUAACACGUGGAUAACCUACCUAUAAGACUGGGAUAACUUCGGGAAACCGGAGCUAAUACCGGAUAAUAUAUUGAACCGCAUGGUUCAAUAGUGAAAGACGGUUUUGCUGUCACUUAUAGAUGGAUCCGCGCCGCAUUAGCUAGUUGGUAAGGUAACGGCUUACCAAGGCGACGAUGCGUAGCCGACCUGAGAGGGGGCGCGGCCACACGGGAACUGAGCCCCGGCCCAGCCUCCUAGGGGAGGAACCAGUAGGAAUGUUUCCGCAGUGGGCAAAGCCCUGACGGACCAACGCCGCGGGAGUGAGAAAGUUUUUGGAAUGUAAAAAUUUUUUUAUAGGGGAAGAAAAAUUGUUUAAGAAACUAUGCCCUUUUUGACGUUACCUAAUCAAAAAGCCCCGGCAACCUCCGUC